AAGAACAUAGCAUUGCAGUAUUCUUCCAUUCACUGGCGUGUACUUAUUUUAGCAUGUACAAAUUUCUGCGAGUAUAAUUACUAACAUGGGUGAAAAAAUAGCAUAGGACAAGUUCAUAUCAUAACAAACCCAGAAAAGCAAUCUGAUAGAUUGCUAUUCAUUACAAAAAAAAAUCAUCACCCGCCCUUGUUUCAUAUGUUGUGCCUUCAUAUAUCACAUCAAAAGGUAAAAAGAAAUAACAAAACGAGAAAUUCACAUAUUUCCCUUAAUCAGCACUUGGUAGAGGCAGUCCUCAACAGGGGUCUAGGUGGCUCUUUCAAUUUAUCAAUACCAUCUUGAGUAGUGCCAUCUGUAAUAAGUCUCUUGCUGUUUACUUCUGGUAAGGCAUCCACAAGUUCUUUAAGGCCCAUCAGAGUAGGUGUAGAGUUGCCCACAAUUUUAAGUUGUUCCUGCAGUGUCUCAGGCAUCUUCACCGUUUUUCCAUUGAUAAAAUUACACAGGUACAUAACACCAGCAUUUGCAAGGUCCUGCUUGCCUUCCAAAGAAAGUAACUUGCCAUCCAGACCAGAAACCAUCCUGUUUAGUUGAUCCAGAUCAAAACCAAUCUGGGACAGAUCGCCAUGCACAUCAUUAACCUCACUCCUAAUCAGUUUUGACAUCUCCAUUUGCUCAUCCAAUUUUCCAUCCACAUUCUCAAUUCGCUGCGUUAAGUGCCUCUUUGUAGCAGCAAGGGCCUCUGAGACAUUAUCAAGAUGUUUUGUCAGAUUUGAGACAGCAGUUGCCAUAUUCUUUUUUGUUACAUACAUAAGGUCAGAGAAUGACAAACCCUUCCACCACAUGUAUCCAUAACCCAAGGCACCUGCUGCAGCGGCUGGCAUUACCAGAGAUGUCCAGUUACCACUAGAACUUCCAUUAAGAACAGUAAUUGAUCGUGCCGAAGCCAAUUGCCGAACCUCCAUUGCCAAUCUACGAACCUGUGCAGCAAUGACAUCCGAGUCUCCACCAUCUGAUUCCCCCGUCUUUUCAUAACUUUUGACCAAAUUCUGAAGCUCGCCUAUCACAUCCGAUAAUUUUCCGUUUUUAAACAACAAAGUACCAGUAUACCCUGCUCCGACGAUGAACACGAUCUUUGUUAAGCCUACUCCAGCGUGCAUAGCCAUGGUCGGCGUUAGUCCGGUGAACAACAAACCCUAGAUUUUUUUGGUUUCCCGGCGAGGGAUAUUGGAGUUGAA
rnacentral:misc_RNA from 1 species